ACGAACGCUGGCGGCGUGCUUAACACAUGCAAGUCGAACGGAAAGGCCCUGCUUUUGUGGGGUGCUCGAGUGGCGAACGGGUGAGUAACACGUGAGUAACCUGCCCUUGACUUUGGGAUAACUUCAGGAAACUGGGGCUAAUACCGGAUAGUAGCUCCUGCUGCAUGGUGGGGGUUGGAAAGUUUCGGCGGUUGGGGAUGGACUCGCGGCUUAUCAGCUUGUUGGUGGGGUAGUGGCUUACCAAGGCUUUGACGGGUAGCCGGCCUGAGAGGGUGACCGGCCACAUUGGGACUGAGAUACGGCCCAGACUCCUACGGGAGGCAGCAGUGGGGAAUAUUGCACAAUGGGCGGAAGCCUGAUGCAGCAACGCCGCGUGCGGGAUGACGGCCUUCGGGUUGUAAACCGCUUUCGCCUGUGACGAAGCGUGAGUGACGGUAAUGGGUAAAGAAGCACCGGCUAACUACGUG
rnacentral:rRNA from 1 species